ACCUAUGCCUGCAACACUAUGAGGAAAAAAUACGUUCUCCUCCUUUGCCUCCUCCUGAUGCCCCUUCCUCAUCCAGGAGAGUUUCAACGUGAUUAUUUUCAAAUGUGUACUGGUUUGGGAGGUGCUUGUACCCUCUUCCUAUGCCUUCCGCCCCUGCGCCGUAUUCUACGAUGUAACAUAUUUAUGGUAUGCUGCAAAAGAAGGUCGAAUGGAUGAAAAUGAUAAUACCACUGAUCAGGGGGAAAGUUGAACCUCUCCGUUAUAUGGGAAGACAUUCUGUCUCAUCUUGAAGGAUCAUCAUCUUCUGCUUGCUGACAGCAAGACUGCUAUGAGCAUACUGUCUUUUCAACUCUAGAAGACACACCGAAACAAUCUUACAUUGUGCUCAGAUGUG